AGAGGGUGCAAACGUUGUUCGGAAUUACUGGGCGUAAAGCGCGUGUAGGCGGCCUCGCAAGUCGGGCGUGAAAUCCCACGGCUCAACCGUGGAAGUGCACUCGAAACUGCGAAGCUUGAGUCCUGGAGAGGAAGGUGGAAUGCUUGGUGUAGAGGUGAAAUUCGUAGAUAUCAAGCGGAACACCGGUGGCGAAGGCGGCCUUCUGGACAGUGACUGACGCUGAGACGCGAAAGCGUGGGGAGCAAACAGGAUUAGAUACCCUGGUAGUCCACGCCGUAAACGAUGAGUGCUAGGUGUCACGGGCUUUGACCCUCGUGGUGCCGAAGCUAACGCGUUAAGCACUCCGCCUGGGGAGUACGGCCGCAAGGCUAAA
rnacentral:rRNA from 1 species